rnacentral:misc_RNA from 1 species
UUAAGUUCAGCGGGUAGUCCUACCUGAUUUGAGGUCAAAUUGUCAUGUAUUGUCUGAGACGGUUAGAAGCAGUGCUAAGCAGACCAUCCAUGCAUGGCGUAGAUAAUUAUCACACCAAUAGACAGUCCACACGGGGCACCAGCUAAUGCAUUUAAGGGGAGCUGACCUGAGCCAGCAAGAGAAACCCCCACAUCCAAGCC